CGGUGUCGGACUCUGAAACGGACAAAUAUAACUGUUCACCGUAAGAAAAUUAAUAAGAAGAAUCUUUAUUUCAGUAGUUAGAUAUGAAGGUGCCUGAAAAACUCCAGACAAGUUCCUGAAAGAGUUAUGUUUAAUAGACAUACGCGCGUAUCUCGCGGUUUCAAAUCGAAUUAGGAUCCGGCGAUGAUUUUAGUGUGACCAGUGUUCCUAUGAUCGAUACCCGUGGCGAUUGUGCAGCGCUGAUCAAUGGAAAACAAUUGGAGCUGGUGUCAGCUGGUUUCACGGAAGUUCGACGAACAGAAUCUAACUGAUUGCUAGGCGGGAAACGACGCGGGUAGAUAUGGGUUCGGUGAGUUUCUCAAAGAGUCAUACCUAGGUGUUCGACAUUCUAACGAGGAUUUCGCGAGACGACAGAUAAUGAUGACGGAUGAAACGAGACUUUGAGAGAAUCGUAAGAAAUCAUGGACCGUCUCGUCGAAGGAAUUUAAAUCGCGGUUCGACGUGUUAGAUUUCGUCGACGAAAACUAUUUCGACGUGUUCCGAAAAUAUCGCACCCGGACACGGUAAGAUUUAACGCCGUUCGAACGUAUUUCUGAUAAACUAACGAGCGUAACAUUUUAAUCGGUCCUCGUGAUUGCACCGGCCGUGAGCCGCCGUUUCCUUUCAUGUUAAUUGCGAAACGAAGCCUUCUGAUCGGCCAUCUCCUGAUUUAAAGGGGUCCGAUGAAUGCUCGGACCUAUAGAAUUAAACAAAAACUGAGAAAGUCGGUCCUUUUGAUGAGACUUUCAUCGAUUUUAUAUAAUGUCCGUCUUGCGAGUCGGUGGGGGGAUCCUUUCAUUUCCUUCCGACGUAAAAAUCGUUGGUUAAUUAAGAAGGGGUUAUUCGAUGGGUCACGACAGACCAAAGAAAUCCAUGUUGCAACCACGCUAGAAUAGUUUUCCUUUCACCGGCGAUCGUGGUUUCGCCAAUCCGGUAAAAGGCUCUCCUUCGACGGUUUCUCAUCGAUUUUACGAUUUCCAGCGAUCGUCAACGCGCAUCCAUUGGGGUAUCAUGGCACGAAAAGCGCCGACACUGGCAAUGGUUUCUA